rnacentral:rRNA from 2 species
GGACUACAGGGGUAUCUAAUCCUGUUCGCUCCCCACGCUUUCGCGCCUCAGCGUCAGUAUGAUGCCAGGUGGCUGCCUUCGCCAUCGACGUUCCUUCCGAUCUCUACGCAUUUCACCGCUACACCGGAAAUUCCGCCACCCUCUCAUCUACUCCAGUCAUGUCGUUUGCGAUGCACUUCCCAGGUUAAGCCCGGGGCUUUCACAUCACACUCACAUCACCGCCUACGCGCCCUUUACGCCCAGUAACUCCGAUUAACGCUUGCACCCUCUGUAUUACCGCGGCUGCUGGCAC